GGGUCACAGUUAUGAGAAGAGGGGAAAGGGAAUGAGAGGAGGGACAGAAUAAUGUGAAGAGGGGCAGAGGACUGGGGAGAGUUGCAGAGGAAUGCGAAGAGUAGCACAGUAAUGUGAAGAGUGAUAAAGUAUUGAGAAGGUUGGCAGAGAAAUUUGAAGAGGGGCAGAGGAACGAGAAGAGUGAAGAGGAAUGUGAAGAGGGGCAGAAAAAGGUGAAGAGUGGCAGAGGAAUGCGAAGAAUGGCAGAGGAAUGCGAAGAAUGGCAGAGGAAUGCCAAGAGGGGCAGAGGCAAGUGAAGAGGGGCAGAGGAAGGUGAAGAGGGUCAAGGAAUAUGAAAAUGGGCAGAGUAUUGCAAAGAGGGGCAGAGGAAUUCGAGGAAAGGCAGAGGAACGUGAAGAGUGAUAGAGGAAUGAGGAGAUUGGCAAAGGAAUUAGAAGAGUGGCCAAGGAAUGAGAAGAGGGGCAGAGGAAAGAGAAGAGUGACAGAAGAAUGUAAAUCCUUAUGUUUGAACUGUCAGUCGGAGCGUGACAGCUGCAGUAAAUUCUCUUUUGCAGUAACGUCACCUUGACUGUUGUCUUCUCUCAAGUUGUCUUCCUGAAGACACAGGUUGUUCAGUACUACACCAGGAUCUUCAUGCUGCUCUAUAGAGAACAUUCAGUCAAUUAAAUGCAUCAGAACCAAG